AAAAUUUUACUGACUAUUCACGUGAAUCUAAAACUCUUAAUUUUCGUUGAGAAGUUUAAUUAUUUGUUUGAAUGAAUAAUUUUAGUUUGCUUCAAAUCUCCAUAAAUUGUUCUUAUUACUUUAUCUGUGUCUUUAAAAGCCCCUUUUAUUUGAAGAAAAUGUAUGAAAUUAUUUGUUAGCAUAUGACUAAUUUGUAAAAUUUAAUUUUUAAUGUUUACCCAUAACCAUUUACCGAUAGUCCUUCAGUCAUAAAAAUCGUUCAGUUCUGUGAGAAAAAGAAAUUAAGUAAGACACGCAUAACCUAAUCUUCAUUUUAACAUUAGUAAAGGUAGGAAAACACAGUAGAAAUAUAUUACUAAUUUUGAAAUUACUUACAUGUUUAAUAUGCUAGAAGCAAUUUGCUUGUAAUGAUAUUAAUCAAAGUGUUACAAAUUUUCUAGCUUUUAACUAAAUGUACUUCCUAAUAGUCUGUAUCAGCUUUAAUUUUGGUAGAUUUUACGAAAUUAUUUCAGCACCUUUUUCAAAAUGAUCUUAAGCAAUUUGAAUAAUCAAUUUUCAUUAAAUAUCAAUUUAUUAUUUUUUUCCUAUUUGUUUCACUCAGCAAUGAAUAUUUAACUGAAAAGCUAUUCUGUAUUUGACAAGCAUUCAAAUGUGAGUCACCAUGUAGAAAUUUAAAAUAAAAAAUUCCAGCAUAGCUUUUUUUCUCGCUUUAUAAUAAAAUAUGUGUCUUAUUUAUCUUGAAUACUGUAAAUAUCGAAAGCAGUAAUAGGUAUAAAAUUCAAACUAUUACCAUUCAAUAAAUUUUGAAAAUAAAAUAUUUAUCUCUACAGUUACCCAUAUGCUUUCUUUAGUAAAGCUUUAAACUAUUACGACUCGAUGCUUUUGUCUAUAGUUUAGACGCUUUAGAGUCCAAAUAAAUCUUUACACCAAUAUGUAUGUAUUUUUUGGAAGCUUUUAAUGUAUGAAGAGUAAAAAAUGAAUGAACAUUUGUAACUGUACGAAUUCUAAUCUAUAAUGUCUAACUCUAAAUUAACAUUGAAUUUUUUUGAUCUACUGGGGUAUGAAAGUAUUACAGCAUGUAUACUCUUUAUUGUUCAAGAACAUAUUGUUGUUCUUGACGUAUGCCAUUAAGGCAGAGGGGAUGUGAUUGUUCUUGUUUUCCAGUACUGUAUUUCAAAUAAUAUGUUUUCAAAUACUCCUUUUUUCGAAUUUACUGGAUUGUUUCAUUUAUCCUUUUUGUUUUGUGCCUAGGUACUGUUUUUGUCUUUUGUAUUUUUCAGGAUUGUCUAUAUUCUUGAUUUGCGGCAGAUGUGCAAGUUUUGAGGUGCCAUGGCUACAACAUAGGAUGAAAAGUUUCAAGGAAGAAUCAAUUUUAUGGGGAAACUACUGAAUAGACGGAAAAUGCUUCCAGCACUAGGAACUUGCCAAUUGUUUUGCUAGCUUUGUAGGUGAGAACAUUGAACUUUAAUUACAAUACUCAGAUUUAUUUGUUUACGUAUUUUAUUGUAACAAGUGAUCUAUUUUUCACAUACCUUUAAAUAUUGAUACAUAAUAUGUUCUACAUGGCUUCUUGCCUGUCUUUGUGUUAAGUAAAGAAUAUAGGGGUGAAAGAACUGAAAUAAUUAUGAAGGAAUUUUUGUGAAGGAUUAUAGAAUUGAUACUUGUCAUGCUUGGCUUACUCUUAAUAGAAUGGAAAGAACUGCUACUAACGUAAACAAAGCCACGUUUUAACAACCAAUCAGACUAGAGAUACCAACACUACGUCACUUGCAGAUAUUUGGUUCCGAACUCAUCGGUUCUGGGUACGUUACAACAAAACUAAAAAAAUUAAAUCCAUAAGUUUGAAUUUUUUGUUAAAGUUGGUUAAUUAUAAUUUUUUUCAGACAAACAUUAACAAAUGUAUUAUUUUUCUAAAGUAAUUGUGUCAAACGUAAAACUAUUACUUAUUUCUAAGUUCAUUUUUAAAAGUAAUUUAACAAACAUUCUCCUUGAAGCUACUAGUAAUGUUAAACUUGCCUAAUUUACUAUCUUUCAAAAUUCAUAUAAAUAUAACUCUUUAUUUGAUUCGUCGAUUAAAAUAAGUCUAGAAUGCUUUUAUUUGUUAUGUAUGAAAACUAUAAUCGGAUAGUCUAGAUCUAAAGGUUAUUUCUAUUCUCCAUGAACUGAGCGAUUUAAUUAACAUUGUUUUAUUGCAAAGUUAUGUUAUUUUACUUCUGAAGUUUUGAGCUACGUAUAGUAUAAUUGUUCUUAAAAUACGAUUAAGCUCACUUUACUGACUGAUUUCUGAAUAACCACUAAUAUACACUUAGAAGUUUCAUUUAUUCAAUUUUAUAGUUUGGAAUUUAGUCUUCUCUUCGAAAGAGGACAUAAGUGAAAUUCGGCAAAAUUCAUUAUUUCAUGACUCAGUAGUCCUUUCAGAGUGUGGACAUUUAGAAUCUUUCAUUUUAUACUACCCUCUUCCUAGCCACGAUGUCCCAUAUGUUAACUUUUACUUUUUCAGAACCUCCAUUAAUGCAGUCAAUCUGGAUCUGCCCCAGGUUCUAGUUUGUUUAAAAUGCGAGUCUGAAUGGUAGGAAGGAUAGGUCAGCAAAUUUCCUUCAGUUUACUUUAAUGCGGCUCUUCCUCCAAUUUUUUCUCCCCUGUACAACUCAUAGUUUCCCAGUUACCGUUUAUUCACAGAGCUCACAAAAUCCUUCUCAAAACUUUUCUCUCUAAGACGGCUAUUCUUUUUUCAUGGGAUCAUGACAUAGCUCAGGUUUCAGAACAGCGUGUCCGUUUUAUAUUAAAAAUUAUUUACCAAUUUUGAUCGUCUAGAACGUCUAAAUUCAUGAAGAUAACAGUUAGAAACAACGCUUCGUUUUAUCUCUUUUUUACUUACUGGACACCCUACAUCUGUUUGUUAAAUAACGGAAGAGGUCAUUAAUUACGACGUGAAAAGAAGAAAAUUAAUCUUUUAAUCAUAGAUUUUUAACACUAUGAACGUCUGCAAGGAAAUUUUUGACAUAAGCUUUCGUUGGAUAUUUAAGAAAAGGUACUUUUGGCAAAUAUGUUGUCAUUGUAUUAUAGAAACGUAUUCUGAAACGAAAAAUUUCUAUUCUGUACUGAACAAGUGUGAAAUCCGAAUUGGAGCAGAACGGCCGUCUAGCACUCCCCUCUUCGAGCUUCACACUUGUUAGCCGUUUCGGAACUUUUCCGUUUUUCAGACUACGGUGCCGUAAGGGCCGGGGUUCCGUAAGAACUGGGGGGUCCUGGAUUGUGAUGAUAGCUCACAUAUCCGUGACCUGAACUGUCUGAAGUACCCUUGCUCUUACAGCGAAAUCUAGCGGUUAAAUUAGCUGCUACAUUUUUCUCGCUCUAGUUAAAUUAACAUUUAAAGGCUGAGGUGGUCUAGAGUAAGGGCCUGGACUGUAACUAAAGGUUGCAGUUCCGUACCCUGAAAAAACACCCAGCUCUUUACUAGCAUUAUAACUUAGUUCAGACGUUCAUAUUGAAUUCACAAAUUUUAACUUUUACGAUAUUUUCCAGGUAGAUAAAUUCGAAGUAAAAUUUGUUAAGGAAAAAAAUGGGACAUUUAUGAACAUCUUAACUGGGGUCGUUCAAAGUCCUUUAAAUACAAAUAACAAUUUACAAUUUCUGAUGCCAAAAUUUAAUUUGAAAAUGUAGCUUAAUAUUAGAAUAAUAAGCUUGGGACAAAUAUUGGGAAAUUUUAUUCACCUGCGUUCACAUAAGGUUCAGAAUUCUGGGCAAUGUUAAAAUUGCUUGACAAUAUAAUGGCUAUUUUUGUGAAUUGUUUUGAUAUUUCUAAGUUUAAUGUAUAUCAGUGGUACAAGGAAAAACAUACAAUGAGCUGUACAUGCUGUAUGGAACUACAUUCUACUGCAUAAAAUUUUCUGAAGACAGUUGCCGAUUUGGCUAAUAGUCCUUAGCAUUUAAAAUCUUGAAGCCGAUUAGAACUGUAAGAAGCAGGCUUAAAUCAAGAUGGGUACACUGGAUUUCAAAGUGCUUAUAAGAAUCUUUUACCCUGGCAUAAAAGUAGACUCUAAAUGAAAGAUUCUUAAAUAAUUUUUCCGCAAAGUGCUGUAGAGUAAAAUUUUACUGACUAUUCACGUGAAACCAAAGCUCUUAAUUUUUGCUGAGAAGUUUAAUUUGUUUGAAUGAAAAAUUUUAGUUUGAUUCAAAUCUCCAUAAAUUGUUCUUUUUAAUUUAUCUGAGUCACUAAAAUUCCCUUUUAUUUGACCAAAAUGUGUGAAAUUUUUGUUAGUAUAUGACUAAUUUAUAAAUUUUAAUUUUUAAUGUUAACCCAUAACGAUUAACCUAUAGUCCUUCAGUUAUCAAAAUCGUUCAGUUCUGUGAGAAAAAGAAAGUAAGGCACGCAUAACCUAAUUUUUAUUUUUACUUAUAUUUCUACAGUAUUUUUCGAUCUUAACAUAUUACUAAUUUUGAAAUGACUUACAUGUUUAAUAUGCUAAAAUCAAUUUGCUUGUAUUGAUAUUAAUCAAAGUGAUACAAAUUUUCUAGCUUUUAACUAAAUGUACUUCCUAAUAGUAUGUAUCAGCUUUAAUUUUGGUAGAUUUUACGAAAUUAUUUCAGCACCUUUUUAUCAAAAUGAUCUUAAAAAAUUUGAAUAAUCAAUUUUCAUUAAAUAUCAAUUUAUUCUUUUUUCCCUUUCGUUUCACUCAGCAAUGAAAGCUUAACUGAAAAGCUCUUCUGUAUUUGACAAGCAUUCAAAUGUGAGUCACAAUGUAGAAAUUUAAAAUAAAUUCCAGCAUAGUUUUUUUCUCGCUUUACAAUAAAAUAAGUUUUAUUUAUCUUGAAUACUGUAAAUAUCGAAAGCAGUAAUAAGUAUAAAAUUCAAACUUUUACCAUUCUAUAAAUUUUGAAAAUAAAAUAUUUAUCUCUACAGUUACCCAUAUGCUUUCUUUAGUAAAGCUUUAAACUAUUACGACUCGAUGCUUUUGUCUAUAGUUUAGACGCUUUAGAGUCCAAAUAAAUCUUUACACCAAUAUGUAUGUAUUUUUUGGAAGCUUUUAAUGUAUGAAGAGUAAAAAAUGAAUGAACAUUUGUAACUGUACGAAUUCUAAUCUGCGAUGUCUAACUCUAAAUUAACAUUGAAUUUUUUUGUUCUACUGGGGUAUGAACGUAUUACAGCAUGUAUACUCUUUAUUGUUCAAGAACAUACUGUUGUUGUUCUUGACGUAUGCCAUUAAGGCAGAGGGGAUGUGAUUGUUCUUGUUUUCCAGUACUGUAUUUCAAAUUGUUUUCAUAUACUGUUUUUUUCGAAUUUACUGGAUUGUUUAAUUUAUCCCUUGUUUAGUGCCUAGGUACUGUUUUUGUCUUUUGUAUUUUUCAGGAUUGUCUGUAUUCUUGAUUUGCGGCAGAUGUGCAAGUUUUGAGGUGCCAUGGCUACAACAUAGGAUGAAAAGUUUCAAGGAAGAAUCAAUUUUAUGGGGAAACGACUGAAUAGACGGAAAAUGCUUCCAGCACUAGGAACUUGCCAAUUGUUUUGCUAGCUUUGUAGGAUUAUCUGUAUUCUUGAUUUGCGGCAGAUGUGCAAGUUUUGAGGUGACAUGGCUACAACAUAGGAUGAAAAGUUUCAAGGAAGAAUCGAAUGAUUUGAUGGGGAAACUACUGAAUGGAUGGAAAAACGUUUCCAGCCCAAAGAACUUGCCAAUUGUUUUGCUAGCCUAGUUGGUGAGACGAUGAACUUUGAUUUUUCUCUUUGUUCCUCGACGCUCUUUUUUAAAGCGCAAUUGCAAGACCAACAGUCACUGAAUGUUCUUUAGAUUAUAUGUUGUCUACGUCCAAAUGAAACGGAGUCCUGCUGUGAAUGAGACUAAGGAAUAAGAUUUACUACCUCCCAAUGAGUCGGCUCAAUUUCUCAGUGAUAGACGGAGUGUGAGCAUACCGUCGAGCUAACCGUGGGAGGUUUUCCUGGUUUUCCUCUCCAUGUAACGCAAAUGCGGGUUAGUUUAAUAUAAGUCCUCCAGGAAGGCAAGAAAUAUGAAAGCUUUAAGUGUUUAUCGUUACAUAUUAGAAUUGACGUGAUCUAAAGUUAUAUAUGAACUCUGAGAACUUUAGAAAUUUAGAGACUAGUAAUAAACCCAGAAAUGUCUUUUGUUUAACGCUAUUUCAACCUCUUUACGAUGUUAUCAAUUUUGUAUAUUGUUGUCAUACUGACUAUAUAUCCAAUUCUUGUUAAAAGAAUGUAAUGCAAAAAAAUAGAGAA